AGGGCGGGACACGUGGUAUCCUGUCUGAAUAUGGGGGGACCAUCCUCCAAGGCUAAAUACUCCUGACUGACCGAUAGUGAACCAGUACCGUGAGGGAAAGGCGAAAAGAACCCCGGCGAGGGGAGUGAAAAAGAACCUGAAACCGUGUACGUACAAGCAGUGGGAGCCUCUUUAUGGGGUGACUGCGUACCUUUUGUAUAAUGGGUCAGCGACUUAUAUUCUGUAGCAAGGUUAACCGAAUAGGGGAGCCGAAGGGAAACCGAGUCUUAACUGGGCGUUAAGUUGCAGGGUAUAGACCCGAAACCCGGUGAUCUAGCCAUGGGCAGGUUGAAGGUUGGGUAACACUAACUGGAGGACCGAACCGACUAAUGUUGAAAAAUUAGCGGAUGACUUGUGGCUGGGGGUGAAAGGCCAAUCAAACCGGGAGAUAGCUGGUUCUCCCCGAAAGCUAUUUAGGUAGCGCCUCGUGAACUCAUCUCCGGGGGUAGAGCACUGUUUCGGCAAGGGGGUCAUCCCGACUUACCAACCCGAUGCAAACUGCGAAUACCGGAGAAUGUUAUCACGGGAGACACACGGCGGGUGCUAACGUCCGUCGUGAAGAGGGAAACAACCCAGACCGCCAGCUAAGGUCCCAAAGUCAUGGUUAAGUGGGAAACGAUGUGGGAAGGCCCAGACAGCCAGGAUGUUGGCUUAGAAGCAGCCAUCAUUUAAAGAAAGCGUAAUAGCUCACUGGUCGAGUCGGCCUGCGCGGAAGAUGUAACGGGGCUAAACCAUGCACCGAAGCUGCGGCAGCGACGCUUAUGCGUUGUUGGGUAGGGGAGCGUUCUGUAAGCCUGUGAAGGUGUGCUGUGAGGCAUGCUGGAGGUAUCAGAAGUGCGAAUGCUGACAUAAGUAACGAUAAAGCGGGUGAAAAGCCCGCUCGCCGGAAGACCAAGGGUUCCUGUCCAACGUUAAUCGGGGCAGGGUGAGUCGACCCCUAAGGCGAGGCCGAAAGGCGUAGUCGAUGGGAAACAGGUUAAUAUUCCUGUACUUGGUGUUACUGCGAAGGGGGGACGGAGAAGGCUAUGUUGGCCGGGCGACGGUUGUCCCGGUUUAAGCGUGUAGGCUGGUUUUCCAGGCAAAUCCGGAAAAUCAAGGCUGAGGCGUGAUGACGAGGCACUACGGUGCUGAAGCAACAAAUGCCCUGCUUCCAGGAAAAGCCUCUAAGCAUCAGGUAACAUCAAAUCGUACCCCAAACCGACACAGGUGGUCAGGUAGAGAAUACCAAGGCGCUUGAGAGAACUCGGGUGAAGGAACUAGGCAAAAUGGUGCCGUAACUUCGGGAGAAGGCACGCUGAUAUGUAGGUGAAGUCCCUCGCGGAUGGAGCUGAAAUCAGUCGAAGAUACCAGCUGGCUGCAACUGUUUAUUAAAAACACAGCACUGUGCAAACACGAAAGUGGACGUAUACGGUGUGACGCCUGCCCGGUGCCGGAAGGUUAAUUGAUGGGGUCAGCGCAAGCGAAGCUCUUGAUCGAAGCCCCGGUAAACGGCGGCCGUAACUAUAACGGUCCUAAGGUAGCGAAAUUCCUUGUCGGGUAAGUUCCGACCUGCACGAAUGGCGUAAUGAUGGCCAGGCUGUCUCCACCCGAGACUCAGUGAAAUUGAACUCGCUGUGAAGAUGCAGUGUACCCGCGGCAAGACGGAAAGACCCCGUGAACCUUUACUAUAGCUUGACACUGAACAUUGAGCCUUGAUGUGUAGGAUAGGUGGGAGGCUUAGAAGUGUGGACGCCAGUCUGCAUGGAGCCGACCUUGAAAUACCACCCUUUAAUGUUUGAUGUUCUAACGUUGACCCGUAAUCCGGGUUGCGGACAGUGUCUGGUGGGUAGUUUGACUGGGGCGGUCUCCUCCUAAAGAGUAACGGAGGAGCACGAAGGUUGGCUAAUCCUGGUCGGACAUCAGGAGGUUAGUGCAAUGGCAUAAGCCAGCUUGACUGCGAGCGUGACGGCGCGAGCAGGUGCGAAAGCAGGUCAUAGUGAUCCGGUGGUUCUGAAUGGAAGGGCCAUCGCUCAACGGAUAAAAGGUACUCCGGGGAUAACAGGCUGAUACCGCCCAAGAGUUCAUAUCGACGGCGGUGUUUGGCACCUCGAUGUCGGCUCAUCACAUCCUGGGGCUGAAGUAGGUCCCAAGGGUAUGGCUGUUCGCCAUUUAAAGUGGUACGCGAGCUGGGUUUAGAACGUCGUGAGACAGUUCGGUCCCUAUCUGCCGUGGGCGCUGGAGAACUGAGGGGGGCUGCUCCUAGUACGAGAGGACCGGAGUGGACGCAUCACUGGUGUUCGGGUUGUCAUGCCAAUGGCACUGCCCGGUAGCUAAAUGCGGAAGAGAUAAGUGCUGAAAGCAUCUAAGCACGAAACUUGCC
rnacentral:rRNA from 1 species